rnacentral:lncRNA from 1 species
UGGGUCGUGACAAACUUGGUAAUCAGAGCACAAGGUUUGGAAUGGUUCUAGGAUGUCUAAAAACCACAUCAAAUAGAGUCUUGUUCAUAAGUGUGAGGCGUGCCACAUUUAUGAAUGAGAGGUUACGAGAUUUUUAGGAAACUUCACUUCUUCAUUUCUCUAAGUCGUGCCAUAUAGUUUAACUUUAUAAGGUCUUUCUCCUAAUCCUUACCCGAUGGUCUACAG